CCCCGUGAGGCCGGAGAGAAUCGCUUGCGGGCUUUCGCAGGCGGAGAAAGGGCCGGCCCUCGAUGCGCUAGGGCUUGAUUUGCCGCCCUCCUCCGGCGGCGGCAACGGUCGCGGAGGCGGCGCCUCACCUAGCUGCGCGGGACCUCACCUAGCUGUGCCAGCCUUAGUCGGGGAGCUGCUGGUGGGAGGCGGCGACUGAGGAAGAUGAAGAUCAGUUUCAGACCAUGAGACUCAUUGGGUGAUCAUUUCAUUGAGAUCAACCUGCAUGACCAGGUGUAAAGUGCAAGAGUAAUAUGCUAUGACUGAGGCAACUCAAAUUUUUUAAUUGCCAAUUUCUGCUCCUUUUGAUUCUACAAAAGAAACUAUGUUUCCAGUAACCCCUAAACCCCAGGAUUCCAAUCAACCAUCAGACAGAUUCAUGACUGAAAAACAGCAGGAAGAAGCAGAAUGGGAAAGCAUAAAUGUGUUGUUGAUGAUGCAUGGCUUAAAACCUUUGUCCCUAGUCAAAAGAACAGAUUUCAAAGAUCUCAUCAUUUUUGACAAACAGUCAUCACAAAGGAUGAGACAGAAUUUGAAACUGUUGGUGGAAGAAACAUCACGUCAACAGAACAUGAUACAGGAGCUUAUAGAAACAAAUCAGCAUCUUAGAAAUGAACUUCAGCUAGAGCAAAGCCGAGCAGCCCAUCAAGAACAACGAGCUAAUGACUUGGAACAAAUUAUGGAGAGUGUGAAAUCCAAAAUUGGUGAAUUGGAGGAUGAAUCACUAAAUAGGUUUUGCCAGCGACAGAAUAAAAUAAAAGAUCUUCAACAGGAGCAGAAAACUUUACAGGUGAAGUGCCAGCAUUAUAAGAAAAAACGAAUGGAACAAGAAGAAACUAUUGCUUCUUUGCAAAAGGAAGUCUGUAGAUUAAGAAAGGAGGAAGAAGAUCGCAUUGUCACUCAAAACAGAGUGUUUGCCUAUCUGUGCAAAAGAGUUCCUCAUACUGUCUUGGAUAGACGGUUGCUUUGUCUGAUUGAUUACUAUGAAUCUAAAAUUAGAAACAUUCAUAUGCAAAGGCAAUAUAAAGAAGAUGAAAGUCAGUCAGAAGAAGAAAAGGACUACAGAAAUCUGGAUGCCUCACCAACUUAUAAAGGCCUUUUAAUGUCAUUACAGAAUCAACUCAAAGAAUCAAAAUCUAAGAUUGAUGCACUUUUAAGUGAAAAGCUGAACCUACAAAAAGAUUUGGAAACCAGGCCCACACAGCAUGAAUUAAGAAUUUAUAAACAGCAGGUGAAGAAACUGGAAAAAGCCCUUAAGAAAAAUGUCAAAUUACAGGAGCUUAUUAGUCAUAAGAAGGCUGAGGACACAGAGAAAAAAGAUGAGCCCAGCAAAUAUAAUCAGCAACAGGCCCUAAUUGACCAGAGAUACUUUCAGGUGCUAUGUAGCAUCAACUCAAUUAUCCACAAUCCAAGAGCUCCAGUAAUAAUUUAUAAACAGAGCAAAGGGGGAUCCCAAAAUUUUAAUAAAGAUCUUGUUCAAGAUUGUGGAUUUGAGCAUCUUGUUCCCAUAAUAGAAAUGUGGGCAGAUCAGCUGACAUCCCUAAAGGAUUUGUAUAAGUCCUUGAAAACACUAUCUGCAGAACUGGUACCUUGGCAUAAUCUGAAGAAGCAGGAUGCAAAUGAAGGUAUCAAAGUUGAAGAUUUGUUAUUUAUAGUAGAUACUAUGUUGGAAGAAGUUGAAAAUAAAGAAAAGGACAGCAAUAUGCCAAACUUUCAAACUUUGCAAGCUAUUGUCUCUCACUUCCAAAAAUUAUUUGAUGUGCCUUCUUUAAAUGGAGUCUAUCCUCGAAUGAAUGAAGUUUAUACUAGGCUUGGAGAAAUGAACAAUGCUGUGAGAAACCUCCAAGAACUCUUAGAAUUAGAUAGUUCAUCUUCAUUGUGUGUGUUGGUAAGCACUGUUGGAAAACUCUGUAGGCUGAUUAAUGAAGAUGUGAAUGAGCAGGUUAUGCAGGUAUUAGGACCUGAAGACCUCCAGAGCAUUAUCAACAAAUUGGAAGAACAUGAGGAAUUUUUCCCAGCAUUUCAGGCAUUUACUAAUGAUCUACUUGAAAUCUUAGGCUGAAACUUCCUUGGGUAACUCGUACAUCCUUGCUGCAUUUUAUGUAAGAGUACUUUACUUGCUGCCUUGUAUUUAUUCUAUAUUCUCAAUAUUUAGUCACAUUUUCUUAAGGGUCAGUGUUCUGCCCCAUACCCAUGAGUACAAGCCACUUUGGACUAUGCUUCCCCAUUCUGUAAGUAGAAGGCCUAGGAAGAUUUCUCUGUCAUUCUUGUUGGUGGGCACAUAGAAUAUUAUAACACAUUUCCAGGAAGCAGCAUGGUGGAAUGGUGAGUAAAUGUCAGCAAACAGGCAUCCACAUCCUUGGUGUUGUGACCUUAGAGAUCAGACAUAAGAUAAUAGGCUCCUUCUAAAUUUAAAAUUCUUUGUCGUGAUACUUUGCAGUUACAUUUCUAAACACUAACUUAAAAUUUGUGGAAGAACUUGUCUUGAGGGUUGGGUACAAAAAAGUGCUUGGAUAUUCAAUAAUGUAAACACUAUGAAUUGAUUAAAUUAUUCUAAGAAAUUGAAGGCAGGCCAAGAUGGUGGAAGAGAAGCCUACAGUAUUGAUCCCCAUGGCAGGAACACCAAAUUUUAACAAGCGUCUACACACGGAAAAGCACCAUCACAAGAACCAAGAAUCAGGGUUGAUUUUUCUUUACAACUUUUUCUCCUCCACUGCUAAUUUGGAAGUUUUACAUAUCAACUUUAUUGGCUUUCUACUAUUACUUUAUUUUUAUAGUUAUUUUGCAAUUUUGAACACAUACCAAGGAGACAGAAACCAUAUUGCACAGGUAACCAAACAUGAAAAACUUAAUCACAUUUUACUAGUUAGCAAUUCUUGUGUUUACUACUAAAAGGGGUAGAAGUGGACUCUAGGGGAUACAGAAUAUCAACUUCGGGAUACAGAUGCUUUCCCCCAGGGGUAAAGGAGAGAGAACAAGAAAGGGAGUUAGAAACUAGCUAAGUGCCUCCCUACCAGGCUGAGAUUUAGACUUCCUCUGGCUGCCAUAGGAACAUGCAACCCAUUUGUGGCUAAGAAACUUGCCAAAAGGUGCUGUCUGCUGAUAAAACAUAAAGACCAUGAUUCUUAGGGCAUGAGCCAAGGGUAAACUGUGGGGUGUGCUUAGGUAAUUGAGAACAUCUCCAUACGCCAAUGGAAAACAGCAGAACAGCCUCUUCUUCCUGCUGUAGCCUUGCAGUGUCCUUCCAUCGCCCCCUAUUGGCAAAGCCCGCUGAGAAGUGGGGAAAGGAGACAGACAUCAAUUUGAAGCUGAGAGGUAAUGAAUUUGUUACUGACUCGCAGAGAGUUAUAUUUUUAAGAUAAAUAUCUUUAGCUUCCUAAAUAACGUAUGGUCUUGAAUACUUUCUUCUUCUGAAUCGCCCUAGCUGCCUCUUCUUAGUACUAGCAUUUUAGUUCUACUGUAUUUCUGAACACAAAAUCUUUGCUUAUUUGUUUAUAUCUUGUGAACAAUCAAAACUUACUUAGGUUUGCCAGAGUAUUUUAUGGAUUUCUUUGCUCUCCACUGCUUCUCCUUACUGGUACAUUUCCUUCUUGCUGAACUAUAUCUAUGGCUAUUUUUCAGUUUGAUAUUUCUGCACGUUUAAUAUUUUUUUAGUCUGUUUUUGUUUUGUGUCAUAAUUUUUGCCCGUGGGUUUCCCUUUAGUGACAGCUAUCUGCUGCAGUUGUCAUACAUGUGCCCUGGAUGUGAGUGGCAAUGCUGUGGGGCCACUUUUAUGGUUGCCUCCAUCGAGGUUUCACAGGUUCCAGGUUCUAAACGAAUAUUCACAUUCCUUCCUAGGUUUGGGGGUUUCUGUACCAAGUUGAUGUUAACUUCAGACCCUAUGCCCCUGCAUAUUAGCUGAUUGUUUGCACCCACUGCUGAAAACCAAAUCUUGUCCUCAGUGGCAGCCAAGGUAUUAACAACUUUUCAGGCUCCCUGCCCCUUACACAGGGCCUGUCUAUAGAACCUUGGCUCCUAUCUGGUGGUAUUAAAAUUCUGGUUCCCUUCUACAUUUUAACUCCUUUGGACUAUCACCAGUAAUUUACCUGUGUUUCCUGACAGGUUAAGAAUGGUUUAAUUAACCAUGUUUAAAAUAAAUGUUUAUGGUUUAAGUUUGGAAGAGGAGGGGUAGGUUUUCCCUUGUCUGCCAUUUUGAUUAGCUGUUGUUUUAUGGUUGCUAAUGUUUCAGAUGUGGCUAUGAUACAUUUCCUUAUUUCUCUGGUGCUUCUCUAUUUUCAAGGCACUUUUCUAUUUAGGGAGCAAUUAGAAUGCCAUCAUGAGGCAGACAGGGUAGGCAUCAAUGCUCCAUUUUAUUAUGAGAAUUUUCCAUAUAAAAUAGAAACCUCAGCAGAAACAAAUUUCACCAUGGAUCAUCUAUGUACUUAACACAGUCUUGGAUGAUGAGGGUAAAAAAGAAUUCAAGUAGCUUAUAGUUCAAUUGGAGAGUAAACAAAUACUAAAUACCAAAUAUAAGUAGUUGCUUUGCAUGUAACCUUAGCAGGUGCCUAAUAGUGUUUUUUUUUUUUGAGAUGGAGUCUCGCUCUGUCAUCCAAGCUGGAGUGCAAUGGCAUGAUCUCAGCUCACUGCAACCUCCGCCUCCCGGGUUCAAACGAUUCUUCUGCCUCAGCCUCCCAAGUAGCUGGGACUACAGGCAUGCACCACCAAACAUGGCUAGUUUUUGUAUUUUUACCAUUUUGGCCAGGCUUGUCUCAAACUCCUGACCUCAUGAGCUGCCCGCCUUGGCCUCCUGUAGUGCUGGGGUUAUAGGCAUGAGCCACCCGGCCCAGCCCUAAUCAACAUUUUUUUAAAACUUGGUGUUAUAAAGGCUGUGAACUAUUAAAAUGGAAAAUACUCAGUAUCAACAGUAAAUGCUACAGGCAGUGGGAAGAGGUCAUUUCAGUAUGGAUUGACUUAAUAGAGGAGAUAGGCUCGAGACAGGACUUGAAUAGGCAAAGCAUAGUACUUGGACUAUUCUGGAAUAGAACAUUUGCACAUGAAUAAGGUAGCAGAAAACGGGAAUAAGAGUAACAUAACAAAAUCUUUGCUUUAGAAUGUUGUCCUGAUUCAGAAAAGCGGCAGUGAAGGCAGUGGCAGACAGAAAACUGAUGGCAGGUAGUGUUGUCUGAGUCGGUAAGAUGUUUUUGUAAGAUGAGGUCCAGGAAUUAGAGGGUAUGGGAAGUAUAUUUGGUCUUGUAAAGUCUGAAAUGUAAAAAAGGCACUUAAGUAUAAUUUAUGUAUUUUGCUUUUAACAUGUUAUUUAGGUAAACCAAACAUCUCUUUAGAAAAGUAGAAUAGCCUAAACUUAUCUGAAAGAGAUAUAGAAAGCUCCCUUUUCUCCAAUGGUGACACUCUCUUUGCUAUGAGAGUCAGACGGAGACCUGGGUUUGGAACUUGGUUUGCAUUUUCCUAUGGAGUUUUGGCCCUUAGACCACACAAGAGUAUUUAACUCGAGGUAUUUUAAUAUAUAACAUUUUUGCCACUAGGGAAAUACAUUUCCUCCAGGUCAAAUAAAAGAACAAAUCUCCAGGCAGACAAGUACCAGAGGUGGCAGCCAGAAGGGCUUUGGCAGUGUUAGCUCUUGGCAGUUCUGAGUUUCCCUUUAACCAGUCACUGCCCGGGAAUGCUGGUAGUGGCUCCAGAAACAGACCUGCCCUAGCCCCUAUGCCAGGGGCAGGACACUUUCUGAUACACAUAUACAUUCAGGCAAGUCCUAAAUCAGAUGGUAUAUAAAUUACCUACUGAAAGUGAAAAACCACCACUGAGGUUUGGAUAAUUUAGUAGGCACAAAUAUAUCAUUUCUUUCUGGACUUGAACAAAAAAAAAUCCAACAAAAAGUAGUUCUUGCUUUUAUAUAACCUCUUCCUUAUGUUAUUCAGUCAUGCAGUUAAAUUCCACACAAGAACGUAUGUAUGUAAUUUCAAGUAGUUGUUCUGAUUUAAAUGACAAAAUAUACAUUUGAUGUAUGUGAUCCAAAAGAAAAAAUAUAUACAUAUACACAUUUUAACAUAAAGGUGAAUGAUAACGAUUCUCAUCGUCAGCUUCUGGGCUCUCCAUUUGGAGUCAGCUCAUACCUGUAAGACAAUUAGGUUUGGACUUAACGUUAGUAGUGACAGUGUGUUGUGGUAACAGGACAAACUGCCAUUCCUGCCUGCCUGGGCCUCUGUGAGACCAGCAGAACCUGACUCUCUAAGUUGGCCAGCCAGGGUUCAGGGUUAAGGCUAGAGUUUACAGGUGUCUUUUAGGGUGUUGGUGAGAUCUGCAGGCAGUAAAGCCUUAAAUAAAGGUAUUCAUGUCUCUCCCUUCUUGAUAACCAAAGGAGCUGAAAUAGUACUGAAAGGGAAAACUGUCUUGAAUAGCAGGCUAACAGUGAUAAAAUGAGAGGGGACACUUACCAUUGUGAAAAGCCCCUAAUCAGAUCUUCUUUUGAUAAGUCAAUCAGUACCUAAAUAAACACAAAUAAUUAGUUCCCAUCCAAAACACUACAUUAAGGAAAGGAAUUGGGAUAAAGUGAAUUGAUCAUAGUCUUCUUGGUGUGUCAAAUAUCUCUUGUACUUACUUUUCCUAACUCCUUUCUUCUGUGCGAGCCUAGUGGCCUACUAUUUUUCACGGCAACAUCAAGUGACCUCUUCUUUACUUCUUCCAUGGGAACAAAAAAUUCAAAUCUUUAAAGAAGCAAAAGUCAGGAAGUUAGAAUUUCAUAUUUCAUUCAGUUUUCUUGAAAAUCUAAAGUGCUUCAUUCAUUUCCCUACUAAAACAGAUGAUAACAGGCUAUUAGGAGCACCUAGAGCAGGACUGGCUUGUAAGUACUCACAGUGUAUCAUUACUACAGAUAAUCACUGUCCUGUGUUGUUCACAAAACCCAGAAAUACUAAGAGGCUGUUUGCCUAGAAUGCCUCAGACUAUUGUGGCUUAGUUGGCAUCUUUCUUUCUCCAAUUCUUCCCUGGCUACCAGUCUUUUAGCUGGCUCUCCUCACCCCGAAUAGUACCUGCUCAUAGGACUGCCUCAACCCCUUUCUCAGUGUUCUCUCACCAGCUAAGGGCCAGAACACUGAACAGUUAGGUUUGCUCUAGUUGCAUGGAAAAUAGUGGCCACCUCCUGUGGAGUAAGGCAGAGGAAACCUCUUUCUUUUAGGUUUAUUUUUAUGGUGGAGGUUGCCAACUCUAUCUUCCAGACAAUCCAGGCUUAUCUUGCUGUCAUACGUUUGAGAAUUACUAACAGAUUUAGGUUUGUCACAAAAGUCAGAUGUUAAGCCUUUUCCCUCCUAUGUUCCCACAUGAUUUUUUAAAAUCCCUUAGCUACAUAGUAGUUACCAUACCACAGUUUUUACAUCUUUUUAUAAUUAUGUUAGCACUCCCUUAGAGGGCAAAAUGUCUUACUUGUAUGGCUCUAGAGUACAGGACAGUGCCUAGCAUAAAGCAUUCAGUAAAUGUUGAAUGAAUAGUCUCUCUUCCCCAUACCCUUUCCUUAACACUGAUGAACUCAAAGCAUAGCUCUCAAAGGAACAUAUUAGUUCUUAGACAUGGCCCAAAGAGGACUCAGUGUAACCCUUUUUAAAAAAGUUAUUGAUCAGGAUAAUUAUGAGAUGUAGUAUUUUACUAAGCUGGCUAGAAAUGUCUUUUUAGAACCCUGAAGCAGAAGGAUGCACUUAUGAGAUUCAGACUUCUAAGAAUAAAAAUAUUUGGGAUAAGACUUGCCACCAAUGGCCCAUCAAAAGCAAUUAAUGUGAUUACAGUCACCCUUGUCCCCAAGGACACAGUGGACAAGCCUUUGUGGAGAAGGGGAGGGAAUCUGCUCCAUCUGCCACCUAUGUUUUGUUGCAGGAGGGAAGAUAAGCCAAAGAGCGUCAAGCUUUAGAGGAAACUUUAGGUCCUUAGGUUCAAGGAAUGUUUAUUUUUAACUGCUGGGAUUAAAACAGAUCCAAAAAAAUAUUUGAACACAUUCUAAUCUUUUUACUACCAGAGAGAACUUAAUUUAAACAAAGAGUAGAGAACAUUACAUAUUCAGGAACACUUUAGGCUCUAUGGGCAGUAAAUGUAGGAAACCAUUUUGAUAAACUUCCCUGCUACUCCUUUUUUUCCACUACAGUACAGAACCUUCAUGAAGUCAUAGACUAUGUUAUCUUGUUCAGCCAUAACCCCUUCCAGCAUCUGGCAGGCUGCCAGGCAACAUAACAGGUACUUGACACACACUCAAAUAGAUGAGGCACUCUAGGCAGGUCACCGGCCCACUUACGUCUCAUCAAACAGGGGUUCCAAGGUCUUCCGCUUCACUGAAGUCUUCUUACGACAUGUCCACUUCCUUUCUGGCAACAAGUAGACACGGACGUAGGGAUCAGCUCCACUGCUCGUACAUGGUGUCAGGUUUCUGAUUUGGUGUCAAAGACAUUAGGGAAAAAAAGGCCCCUGGUUUUCACACACUGAAAAUACUUAUUUGGGAGAAGUUUAUAUUAGCCAUUCAGCAUUAGAUACCCUUGAGGACAAAAAUGCUCAGUGGUCCUGAUGAUCAAGUCUGUAGAAUUGAGAGGACAAAAUAGACGCAUGGUUUUGAAGACAUGCAUCUUUAUAAAGCUUGGGGUAGAGCAAGUACUGGAUGGAAGCUCGAGACUGUCACUUGGAAAAUGUACUGGCUACCAGCCACUCAGGACAGUCUUGCAGUGUUUGCAUCUGAGCAAAGCCCUUGGCUCUUGAGCCCGUCAGCACCACUGAAGAAUGACGGCCUGAGUGCCCCUUUAAGGACUUUGUUACAAUGUUCAGGGUUUCAAAUCUCUCUUUCUUUUUCCCCCAGAGUGUCCUUUAUCUUGGGACUGUGUGCCCUGUUCAUUGCUCUGAGUGUCCCUACUCUGAUUUAUGGUCACCUGAUGCUCCCAAAGAACCUCCUUGGCCCUAGAAUCUCUUUACCUGCAGCUGUUGAUGAGCACACGGAGGCAGCGCCGUAGACACACAUAGCGCACUGUGAGCUGAAUCUCGCCCAGCUGCCGCCGCCUGAGGUCCCCACCUCUGUAAAGAAAGAGCACAUCACUUCUCUUGCUGUAAUACAUUGGCCCUCUUCCCCCACCCCCAAAGACAAAGAAGCAUUCCUGCUAGGGGAGCAUAGAGCCAUGUGGGAUAAUCUGCAGUGAGUUUACUUUCUGUUGGAAUUAGUUCCAUCCAGCACUCAUGUAUAAUUAUCCUACUUCACGGUAGGAAGAAUGGGAACCCUAAGGUGGGAUCUGCCUUUGUAUCAUGAUUCCUUUUGGGACCUUGAAUGAAUGUAUUCAACUUUUAUGAUAAGUCCCAUCUUGUAGGGUUAUUGUGAAAGUUGAAUUAAAUCAGAUAACAUGCUAAGCCCAUAGUAAACCCUUCAUAAAUGACAGCCAUUUAUUACAUAAUACUGCAUAUUAAACUUUCCAUAUCAUCCCAGUUUAACACUUUAGAAUCAGGAAAUGGUUCUGCUGGAAGGGACCUUACCAGCCACAGUCCAGCAUCUAUUUUCCAGUCAGUACGGAGCUAGAGCCAUAACCAGCCUGUCUGUCCCUCCCUCCCUUAUACUGUGUUCUACCACACCAUGCUGCCUCUUACGAAGAAAUUUUGUGGAAAAACAGAACUUGUACAGAAAUGUAAGUUCAUAUCUACUUUUCCACCCAGUGAGGUAUUUUUCAUACAGGCGAUUUUAGAAAAGAUUAAGGAGAGAGGUGCAUACUCAAUAUUGAGGCUGAUAUCUGCCAGAUCAAAGCAGGAAGAGGCCAGGGAGUUGAGCGAGGACAUGCUGGGAGCCAGCCUCUUGGGCGGCCAUGCGAAUGGGGAAGAAGGGCAUUUCAUUGGUCUGGGUGACUUGAUGGGUCCUGGAGAGUGGGGGCCUGGGACAGUCAGGAAGAUGGUGGUUGAACUCUUCUUCUGCCCCAUGGGCUCACAGAACCUUUUGGCAUUGUCCUUGCCCUUGGGCUCUGGGCCUAUCUCUUGGGGUGUGGGCUCAGUGGCAAUGGUGGCAGCAGUGGUAGCACUGGUGGUGGUUGUGGUACUCUUGGUUGUGUCCUUAGUUUCAGAAGCAGAGUCUGGGGGACAUGGCAAAUCUGUAGGGCCUUCUUCCUGAGGUGGGGCUUUGGGACUCUGGUUGGUAGCCACCUUCUUGAUGAGCAGAGGGCCUUUCUUUAGGGCUUCAGGUCCUGUGUAUGGGCUCCCCAGCUCUCGUUCCUCCACUCGAAGGAACUGCAAGCCAGAUAAGAGGGUGGUUUAUGAGCUGGGCCACCAAUUCUAUAACCUCAGUCAUUGUUUCUCCUUCCCCCUUUCCCUUUAGUUGUGAAUUAUUAAGACCCUUUCUUGGGACUUCCAUUUCUAAUAAUACAUACGGUUUUCGAAAUAUUCUGAAAAACUUGUUAGAAAUGCCAAAUUCACAAGAAAAUAAGGAUAAUUCUGUUAAAACUGAAAAAUAAAAGUUAAGCCUUCCUAGGGUUGUAUAUCAACCUUGGAAUUCAGGGAGUUAGAAGAAGAGGCUGUGAGGCUAGGAGAUGAAGGGAAGACCCAUGAAGGUGGGAUCUCUUUAGUAAAAAAGUAGUUUAGAAUAAAAAUUAUUCUGCCUACCGGCAAAGACUGAUGAGAAGAACACGUGUUUGUCACAGCCUGUACUCUGGUUGGAGGGUACAAAGCCUUCCCUACUAACAUGACACCUCAUAGGCCUGUCCUCUUACGAAUUUUGAGUAUAAAUAUGAGCUACCUAUGGAAUCUUGAAACCCAAAGUUAAAAAAUUAACAUAAAAAUGGACUCAGGUUUGUAAUGCACCUGAGGUUCUGGACUGCAGCAAAAGCAGAAACUCCUUGGAAGAGAACAACCUCAAUCCAGGUCAUAAAGGAACACUGAACACAUGUUUGCAAUCCAAGUUAUAAAACAGAAAUGAGUUACCAUCAAAAACCAUCAACAGGUCAGGCACAGUGGCUCCCACCUGUAAUCCCAGCACUUUGGGAGGCGGAUCACUAGGUCAGGAGUUUAAGACCAGCCUGGCUAAUUUGGUGAAACCCCAUCUCUAUUAAUAAUACACAACUUAGCCAGGCGUGGUGGCACACACCUGUAGUCCCAGCUACUCGGGUGACCGAGGCAGAAGAAUUGCUUGAAGCUGGAAGGCAGAGGUUGCAGUGAGCUGAGAUUGCGCCACUGCAUUCCAGCCUGGGUGACAGAGCAAAACUCUGUCUCAAAAAAAAAAAAAAAUCAACAGACAAAACAAACAUCAAAAUUUAACUCCUAAGAUCUUCAAAUAAUAGAACAUACAUAUUAAUACAUUGUAACAUACUUGUUUUUUUCUUUUUGAGACAGGGUCUCAUUCUGUUGCCCAGACUGAAGUGCAGUAGUGCGAUCUCAGCUCACCACAACCUCAAUCUCCCAAAGCAAUUACCCUGUCUCAGCCUACUCAGUAGCUGGGAUUACAGGUGGGCACCACUACCACCCAACUAAUUUUGUAUUUUUAGUAGAGAUGGGGUUUCACCAUGUUGGCCAGGAUGGUCUCAAACUCCUGACCUCAGAUGAUCCACCUGCCUUGGCCUCCCAAAGUCCUGAGAUUACAGGCGUAAGCCACCACACCUGACCUAUUGUAACAUAUUUUCAAAUGACCUAAACAUGAGAAGAUAAUAAAAUUCUAUGAGAAAAUACCAAGUAGAUUUGGAAAAGAUAAAAAUAGAAAUGAAAAAUCACCGUUAAAAAAAACCAUGAACAGGUUAAACCACAAACUAGGCACAGCCAAAGAAUGAAUUAGUGGUCUGGAAGACAGUUCUGAGGGAAUUGGAAUGUACCACCAUUGACUACAGAGAUGGGAAAUAUAAAGGUGAGGUCAAGAGGCAUGGAGGAUAAAUGAGAAGGUACAUUAUAGAAAUUCUAGAAAGAGGAAUUUAAAAAGAAUGGAGCAGAGGCAGUAUUUGAAGAGCCAGUAUCUCUUCAAACAUUGACUUGCUCCCAUUCAGUAUUCCAAAAUUGAUGAAAAACAUGAAUCCAUCUCCUGGCUUCUUCCAGUUACACAGCAGGUGCUUAGUGCUGGGUAGUUCAACCUGCUUCACUGCCAGAGCUCUAUUCCUCCCUCCCCCAGGGGGCAGGAGAGAUUUACCCGAAGUACCAGCCUCAUGGAGAUGAGGCUGUCCAGGCCUGAGUGGUCCAGCUGAAAGCGCUGCUCAAGAGUUAGGUCAGCAUAGGGGAGGAUCUGGCACAGGGGGACCUCCAGCAUUCCCAGAGCAUACUCCUGGUCAUCAUCAAGCACCUAGGCAGUGGGCCAGUCACAAAACAAGAGGAUCACCAAGCCCCACCACACCACUACUAGUGUCUGGGCCCCAACCAAGUUUAGGUUUACUUUAGUCUGUACUAUGCUUCUAUGGGCAUCUAUUCCUAUUCUGAAAACUAGAAUGGGAUCAGGCCACUCCUGAUCCUUGCCUGGCAAGACAGUGACAAUUAUGAUAUGUAUGAGCUAGUCCGUUAAAUGCCCAGAGCCAGUGGGCUUUGGGGACUGAUGAGCUGUGCUGCUCCCCAGGCAGGGCUGAGGGCCCCAGAAUAUCCCCGUUCCAUCACUGUUGGUAUUGAGAUCUUGGACAAGACAUUGUUUUUGCCUCUCUUUGCUCAUUCUACAGAUUUUUGUGAAGAUUAAAUGAAGUGUGUGUGUGUGUGUGUACACCAUUAAUGUCCUGUGUAGAUUCCAGCACAGGAUAUUCUGGGUGCUGUGUAGCAAAUAUAAAGACCCUUUUGCAGGGAAAGUCAAGGGGCUUAAGGGUUUAU